AACCAACAAACAUGGAGAAGGGUAUGGAACUUUUACACGGCCAUUUUCAUUUUAAAGUUCUUCCAGACGGCGCAGUCGACAGAACCAAAGUUAUUUGUAACCACUGCAAAGUUGAAUUUUCUUAUCACCGGAGUACUUCCAUUCUGAAAUAUCACCUAAAUGCAAUACACACAGUUGAUACCAGCAAAUCAUUCAACGAAACAAACAGUGGCGCGUCGGCAGACUACGUUAGAUGCAGCAUGUGGGAGAAGUAUAGAUAAACAAAGGCAAGAGAAGCUAACAAAUGCCAUAGCGAAGUGGAUAGCUACAGACUGCAGGCCGAUUAGUGUUGUGGAGGACGUCGGUCUGAGAAACAUUCUGAGAAUUGCAACAAAUGACGGCAGGUAUGAGAUUCCCUCAAGACGCACCAUCACAAGGAGAAUACACGAGUUGUAUGAAAAGGAGAGGACCGCAAAAGCGACAACUUUACAACAUGUUACUCUCACUGGGGACUACUGGACAUCACUGGGUAACCAUAAUUACCUCGGAGUUACAGUUUUAAUGUUAUGAUUGUGGCUCAGGAUUUUGUGGGCACUUUAAUUUUGUAUUUACUUUGAUUACAUUGUUUAAGUUGAGAUUUACACUAAAUAUUUUAUUUAACUGCUACUGUAUAAAUAAUAUGCUGAUGGUAAGUGUUUGCAGAACAAAUGUUAUGGCACUUUCAUUCAUAUGGCAGAACAUUUAAAAUAAAAUUGCGCUAUACACUA